UACGUAGGGUCCGAGCGUUGUCCGGAAUUACUGGGCGUAAAGAGCUCGUAGGUGGUUUGUCGCGUUGUUCGUGAAAACUCACAGCUUAACUGUGGGCGUGCGGGCGAUACGGGCAGACUUGAGUACUGCAGGGGAGACUGGAAUUCCUGGUGUAGCGGUGGAAUGCGCAGAUAUCAGGAGGAACACCGGUGGCGAAGGCGGGUCUCGUGGGCAGUAACUGACGCUGAGGAGCGAAAGCGUGGGGAGCGAACAGGA
rnacentral:rRNA from 1 species